GUCUGAGGAAUCGGAGCAAAUGAGAUUGUAACACAAUGCUCGUGUGUAGACUGUGGAUUGCUUCAUAUGAGAAUUGAGUCAGCUGGGCUGAGGAAGGAGCCGGGACAGAGCUGUUCACGAGGCAUAGUCAGACUCCACCAAGUAACUAGAAGGUUGUACAGGAUUAGAGUGAGCAUCAGACCUGUCUGCCACUGAGAAUUCUUCUACUGUUUCAGAUAAGGAAGCAGGGAGAGGAAAAUAUGCAACCAAUGAUGUGUACAACCAAAGAAGUGGCUUUCAGUAAGUCUGAAGCCACUAAAUAGCCCUUGGCUCAUUGCACCAAAGUCCAUAGGCUUUGCACCCCU